rnacentral:rRNA from 1 species
UGGGGAAUAUUGCACAAUGGGCGCAAGCCUGAUGCAGCCAUGCCGCGUGUAUGAAGAAGGCCUUCGGGUUGUAAAGUACUUUCAGUCGGGAGGAAGGUGUCAAGGUUAAUAACCUUGGCAAUUGACGUUACCGACAGAAGAAGCACCGGCUAACUCCGUGCCAGCAGCCGCGGUAAUACGGAGGGUGCAAGCGUUAAUCGGAAUUACUGGGCGUAAAGCGCACGCAGGCGGUUGAUUGAGUCAGAUGUGAAAUCCCCGGGCUUAACCCGGGAAUUGCAUCUGAUACUGGUCAGCUAGAGUCUUGUAGAGGGGGGUAGAAUUCCAUGUGUAGCGGUGAAAUGCGUAGAGAUGUGGAGGAAUACCGGUGACGAAGGCGGCCCCCUGGACAAAGACUGACGCUCAGGUGCGAAAGCGUGGGGAGCAAACAGG